UGGUGCGGCCCCGCCGCCUCCUCACCAUGGGCGGAGGUGGCUGAGCCGAGAGACGCGGGGGCGCCGUGGCCUAGGCCAGGGAGGCAAAGUGGCCCCGCAGCCCCCGGACUCGCCCCACGAGAAGCCCAUGAUGGAGCAGAUGGAUGCAUGAGAGAAGACAGUCACCCCUGGGAGGCCCAGUAUGGAGUGGGCUCCUGCAGGAGAUUUGUGACCCGUGGAGAGAGGAGCCCAAGCUGGAGCAGGUUACUCCCAGAUGACCAGGACCAAUGCAAACACCAGAUAAUGGCUUCCUCAGCUGGAACUCCUCCAUCUUGGCAGAGCCACGGCUGCUCACUGAUGUUCCCCUGCAGGAAGGGACCUCUCUAUUUGCAGGAUGUUGGUAAAGCUGUUGGAAGCACCACAUGCACCUUGUUUGAACUCAUCAGAAAUAGUUUUUCUGUUGACGUGGGCAGUGAGUAUAGAUUAGAUUAUCCUCUAGAUUGUUCUAGUGGUUUCUGGGGCUCUGGCUAAAAUAGCCUGUUUUGAGAUCAUUUAAACAUAAAGAGCUUUUUAAAUUUU